rnacentral:lncRNA from 1 species
GGUCCCACCAAAACUUUUCUCUCUUUUUCCAAAGUGUCCUCUCUCUCCUCUCUUUCAGAGUCUCUCCCCUCUCUCUCGAUCUCUCCUCCUCUCUCCCGGUUCUUCUUCUCCUCGGCAGCGGACGGCGCGGUGGACGGCGGCGCGUCCUCGGCGGUUGACGUGUCUUCGGCGGCGGCGCGUACCCUCGAUGGCCGGCGCGUCCCC